CUUGCCCCCAUAAGAGGUCCAGCCUGCCCAGUGACCUAGUUCAACGGCCGCGGUAUCCUAACCGUGCAAAGGUAGCGUAAUCACUUGUUUUUUAAAUAAAGACUAGUAUGAAAGGCACCACGAGAAUUAAACUGUCUCCCUUUUCUAAUCAAUGAACCUAAUACCCCCGUGAAAAAGCGGGGAUUUCACAAUAAGACGAGAAGACCCUAUGGAGCUUUAAACAUCAUAAUCACCUGCCCACAAACCAAAAACUCAGGUUCCAUGCCCAAACCCAUUAUGAUUAUAUGUUUUUGGUUGGGGUGACCGCGGAGAAAAACCUAUCCCCCGCGAUGAAAAUAACUACCCAAACAACAAGCCACAGCUUUAUGCAUCAACAAAUUGACACCAUUGACCCAAUAUAUUGAUUAACGAAC
rnacentral:rRNA from 1 species